UCCGUAGGCGGGCUAAUAAGUCAGGGGUGAAGUCCAACAGCUUAACUGUUGAACUGCCUUUGAUACUGUUAGUCUUGAAUUAUAUGGAAGUAGAUAGAAUGUGUAGUGUAGCGGUGAAAUGCUUAGAGAUUACACAGAAUACCGAUUGCGAAGGCAGUCUACUACGUAUAUAUUGACGCUAAUGGACGAAAGCGUGGGGAGCGAACAGGAUUAGAUACCCUGGUAGUCC
rnacentral:rRNA from 1 species